rnacentral:lncRNA from 1 species
UCAGAUCCCGAGGAUUGUGUGAUUCAAAUAAAUAUGCAUAAAUCACAACUUCUUGUGAUUUGAAGAUUGAGAUCAUAUCUCAACCGUAAAAGAGAUCAGAUCUCUUACCUUAAGAAGGGGAUUCCUUCAAGGAUGCUUCGCAGCCGCACAAGCGUCCGGCCUCGAUGACUCGUCCACGCGAAGCUCCAAAAUAAUCAGCUUCCCGGGGAGUGCUAGCUCGCAGGAAGGCAGAAGGUUGGCUGAAAGGGAGAAGAAGGAAGAAGAUGAACCUUCACAGCUCAAGAACUCCUUCUUGGGCUUUCACCUUCAGAGCUACUCUCUCCUCUCACUCUCUUUCUCUGGUG